rnacentral:rRNA from 1 species
UACGAAGGGGGCUAGCGUUGCUCGGAAUCACUGGGCGUAAAGGGUGCGUAGGCGGGUCUUUAAGUCCGGGGUGAAAUCCUGGAGCUCAACUCCAGAACUGCCUUUGAUACUGAAGAUCUUGAGUUCGGGAGAGGUGAGUGGAACUGCGAGUGUAGAGGUGAAAUUCGCAGAUAUCAGGAAGAACACCCGUGGCUAAGGCGGCUCUCUAGUACGUGACUGACGCUGAGACGCGAAAGCGUGGGGAGCGAACAGG